rnacentral:rRNA from 1 species
GAUGAACGCUGGCGGCGUGCUUAACACAUGCAAGUCGAACGGGAAACCUUUUAUUGAAGCUUCGGCAGAUUUAGCUGGUUUCUAGUGGCGGACGGGUGAGUAACGCGUGGGUAACCUGCCUUAUACAGGGGGAUAACAGUCAGAAAUGGCCGCUAAUACCGCAUAAGCGCACAGAGCUGCAUGGCUCAGUGUGAAAAACUCCGGUGGUAUAAGAUGGACCCGCGUUGGAUUAGCUGGUUGGUGGGGUAACGGCCCACCAAGGCGACGAUCCAUAGCCGGCCUGAGAGGGUGAACGGCCACAUUGGGACUGAGACACGGCCCAGACUCCUACGGGAGGCAGCAGUGGGGAAUAUUGCACAAUGGGGGAAACCCUGAUGCAGCGACGCCGCGUGAAGGAAGAAGUAUCUCGGUAUGUAAACUUCUAUCAGCAGGGAAGAUAAUGACGGUACCUGACUAAGAAGCCCCGGCUAACUACGUG